rnacentral:rRNA from 1 species
AGGGCACCACCUGGAGUGGAGCCUGCGGCUUAAUUUGACUCAACACGGGAAAUCUCACCAGGCCCGGACACCGGAAGGAUUGACAGAUUGAGAGCUCUUUCUUGAUUCGGUGGGUGGUGGUGCAUGGCCGUUCUUAGUUGGUGGAGCGAUUUGUCUGGUUAAUUCCGAUAACGAACGAGACUCUGGCCUACUAACUAGACGUUGGAUCAUUUAUGGACCUUCGCUGCUUCUUAGAGGGACGGGCGGCGUUCAGCCGCACGAGAAUGAGCAAUAACAGGUCUGUGAUGCCCUUAGAUGUUCUGGGCUGCACGCGCGCUACACUGAAGGAAUCAGCGUGUGUACCCUGUCCGAAAGGACUGGGAAACCCGUUGAACCUCCUUCGUGAUGGGGAUUGGGGAUUGAAAUUAUUCCCCAUGAACGAGGAAUUCCCAGUAGGCGCGAGUCAUAAGCUUGCGUCGAUUACGUCCCUGCCCUUUGUACACACCGCCCGUCGCUACUACCGAUCGAGUGAUUUAGUGA